rnacentral:rRNA from 1 species
CAGUCGCCGCGGUAAUACAGAGGUCCCGAGCGUUGUUCGGAUUCACUGGGCGUAACGGGUGUGUAGGAGGUUGGAUAAGUCAGGUGUGAAAUCCCGCAGCCCAACUGCGGAACUGCAUUCGAUACUGUUCAACUAGAGGAUCGGAGGGGGAAGCGGAAUUCUUGGUGUAGCGGUGAAAUGCGUAGAUAUCAAGAGGAACACCGGUGGCGAAGGCGGCUUCCUGGAAGAUACCUGACUCUGAAACACGAAAGCCAGGGGAGCGAAUGGGAUUAGAUACCCCAGUAGUCCCUGUCUCUUAUAC